GGGGCCAUAGCUCAGUUGGUAGAGCACCUGCUUUGCAAGCAGGAUGUCGUCGGUUCGAGCCCGUCUGCCUCCACCA
rnacentral:tRNA from 1 species